rnacentral:rRNA from 1 species
UACAGAGGUCUCAAGCGUUGUUCGGAUUCAUUGGGCGUAAAGGGUGCGUAGGCGGCGCGGUAAGUCGGGUGUGAAAGCUUGGGGCUUAACCCCGAAAGGGCACUCGAAACUGCGUUGCUAGAGGGCCGGAGAGGAGAUCGGAAUUCACGGUGUAGCAGUGAAAUGCGUAGAGCUCGUGAGGAAGACCGGUGGCGAAGGCGGAUCUCUGGACGGCCCCUGACGCUGAGGCGCGAAGGCUAGGGGAGCAAACGGG